UACAGAGGUCCCGAGCGUUGUUCGGAUUCACUGGGCGUAAAGGGUGCGUAGGUGGCGAGGAAAGUCGGAUGUGAAAGCUCGGAGCUCAACUCCGAAAUGGCAUUGGAAACUACCUUGCUCGAGGGUUGGAGGGGGGACUGGAAUUCUCGGUGUAGCAGUGAAAUGCGCAGAUAUCAGGAAGAACACCAAUGGCGAAAGCAGCUCUCUGGGACGGUACUGACGCUGAGACGCGAAAGCGUGGGG
rnacentral:rRNA from 1 species